AAGAAGACAAAUAGAACUGCUAAUUCUAUAAAACUGAAAAUAAACCAUCAGACUUCUU
rnacentral:tRNA from 1 species